rnacentral:lncRNA from 1 species
GACUGAUUCUCUUGACCUUUCACUCAUGGUAAAGAGAUGGCUGCCACCACACCAACCAUCAUGUCUGUGUUCAAGACAGAAGGAAAAAAAAAAAAAAAAAGAAACAAACUUCAAGAACCCCCACCCUCACCCUGCAUCCAACUUGGCAGACUUUUCCUUAGGUUUCAUUAGCCAGAAGUGGGUCACAAGGCCACCCUUAGCUAGCUUUGAGCAACUGUCUUCUUCAGAUGCUGCUGCAGCUAUGCUUAGGGAUUAGUGCUUGGAGUUGCAAUCUUCUAUAUUCUUAUCCAACCCCUGUGUGAGCUGGGGCCUCCUUGCCUCUCAAAAUCUAAAUAUGAUUGGCUAGAACACUUGACUGUUAAAGAUUUCCUCAAGGUAUCCUUGAAUUUCCAGGGUUGGGUUGGAAGAUGGCUGAUGCCCUCUAUGUCAGUUCCAGCUUUGGGCACCUGCUUUCCCAAGCGGUGUCUCUGUUCCACAUUGAAUCCCUUCCAAUGUCUCUCAUUCUGCUCCAUCCUCCCCACUAUCACCACCCUAUGCUCCUUCAGCCAAAGAAAAGAAAACAAAUGAGUAACAGCCAAUCAUAAAGUCUUGGGACUUUGAUAUUUGAGACAAAGCUCAGCCAAUCAUAAAGUCUUAUCACACCUCCCCUUCACCAUGACCUUCUUUAUGUAUAUACAUCCUGAGGUGGAGAGUUUCAUCUUCUUUUUAUGUGCAGUGAGCAUGUAUAAAUGAGUAUGAGUUCAUAUAUAAUCUCAUACAAGGCCUCCAUGUCCACCAUCUCACCAGAUUUCUCAGGAAUCCUAAGAUAGGUGUGAGAAGGUCCCCCUGCACCCAGACCUGCCUAACUUUGAGCCCUUUUGCCUUUGAGUUUCAACCCUGAGUCUUAGAGAAUCCCAUUACAAGAGUUAGGAUUUUUGGUUGCAAAUAACAGAGAUCUUGCCCCCCAACCCCCACCCAACUUUAGCUUAAGGGAAAAAAGUAAAUAGUGGCACAGCUGUUUUUCCUAAUGCUCCAAGGACAAAUGUAGAGCCCAGACCUGGGACCCAGAGGGUCUGCAAGAGACUGUCACUCACUUCGUUCUGCUGUACCCUUCCUUCAAUGCAAACUGGCUUUCUCUGCUUCUGUGCCACAACCACCAAGGGCUGUAAUGCUUUUAUAUAACAGCUCCUCCAUUGAAGAGACCAGCUCAAACUAAGCUCUUUGUCCCAAGUCAAUAUUCCCAGGAAAGAGAUUUGUUCAGCCAGGAUCAAGGAUCUAAUCAGCUAUGUUGGGUGGAAGGGGGUCACAUUGCUUAAAUAUGACAGCCUAGUGAGCUUAAAACCAAGCUCCAGUGAGUUAUCUGGGAGCAUGCAGGCUACUAAGAUUUUCAUUUCGGCUGGGCGUGGUGGCUCAGGCCUAUAACCCCAGCACUUUGGGAGGCCGAGACCAGUGGAUCACUUGAGGUCAGGAGUUUGAGAUCAGCCUGACCAACAUGGUGAAACCCUGUCUCUACUUAAAAAAUACAAAAAUCAGCAGGGUGAGGUGGUGCAUGCCUGUAGUCCCAGCUACUCCGGAGACAGAAGCAGGAGAAUCACUUGAACCCCGGGAGGCGGAGGCUGCAGUGAGCUGAAUUGGCACCACUGCACUCCAGCCUGGGUGACAGAGCAAGACUCUGUCUCAAAAAAAAAAAAAAA